rnacentral:tRNA from 1 species
AGCGAUAUGGUGUAAAGGGUUUUGCACAACAGCCUCAUGACCUGUUGGUUCAGGUUCGAAUCCUGAUUUCGCUA